CGAUUCUGGCUCAGAUUGAACGCUGGCAGGAUGCUUUACACAUUCGUCAGACGGCAGCACGGACUUCGGUCUGGUGGCGAUGGCGAACGGGUGGGCUGUGUAUCGGAACGUGCCCAAUAAGCGGGGAUAACUACGCGGCGUAGCUUCUUCCGCAUACAUACGCUCAGAAGCGGGACCUUCCCGGGCCUCGCACUAUUAAACGGCCGAUAUCGGAUUAGCUAGUUGGUGGAGUAACGGCUUCACCAAGGCGACGAUCCGUAGCUGGUUUGAAGGACGACCGGCACACUGGGACUGAGACACGGCCCAGACUCCUACGAGAGGCAGCAGUGGGGAAUUUUGGACAAUGGGGAAACCCUGAUCCAGCCAUCCCGCGUGUGCGAUAGAGGCCUUCGGGUUGUAAAGCACUUUUGGCGGGAAAGAAACGGCACGGGAUAAUACCCCGUGCAACUGACGGUACCUGCAGAAUGGCACCUGGCCCAACUGCAUGCCGGCAAGCCGCGGUGGCCGUAAGGGUGCAAGCAUUAAUCGGAAUUACUGGGCCGUAAAGCGUGCGCAGGCGGUUCCGGAAAAGAAAGAUGUGAAAUCCCAGAGCUUGACUUUGGAACUGCAUUUUUAACUACCGAGCUAGAGUGUGUCGGGGGAGGUGGGGUGCAUCAUAACGAUGUGAAAUGCGUGAAUGUCAGGAGGAACACCAUAUUAGCUGCGAAGGCAGCCUCCUGAGAUAACAUGACGCUCAUGCGAAAGCGUGGGGAGCAAACAGGAUUAGAUACCCUGGUAGUCCGCCCUAAACGAUGUCAACUGGCUGUUGGGGCCUUCGGGCCUUGGUAAGCCGGCUAACGCGUGAAGUUGACCGCCUGGGGAGUACGGUCGCAAGAUUAAAACUCAAAGGAAUUGACGGGGACCCUGAAGCGGUGGUUGAUAUGGAUUCAAAUUCGUUAACGCGAAAACCUUACCUACCCUUGACAUGUCUGGAAUCCCAGAGGGCCCGGGAGUGCUCGCAAGAGAACCGGAACACAGGUGCUGCAUGGCUGUCGUCAGCUCGUGUCGUGAGAUGUUGGGUUAAGUCCCAUAACGAGCGCAACCCCUUGUCAUUAGUUGCUACGAAAGGGCACUCUAAUGGGACUGCGGUGACAAACCGGAGGAAGGUGGGGAUGACGUCAAGUCCUCAUGGCCCUUAUGGGUAGGGCUUCACCGUCAUACAAUGGUCGGACGGAGGUCGCCAACACGCGAGGAGCUGGCGUGUCCCAGAAACCCGAUCGUAGUCCGGAUCAUGAUCUGCAACUCGACUGCGUGAAGUCGGAAUCGCUAGUAAUCGCGGAUCAGCAUGUCGCGGUGAAUACGUUCGGGUCUUGUACGCACCGCCGUCACUGUGAAUUGGGUUUUACCAGAAAUGGAUUAGCCUAACCGUAAGGAGGCGAUUACCACAUUAGGAUUCACGACUGGGGCGAGAAAUCGUAACAAGGUAA
rnacentral:rRNA from 1 species